CACGUGUUUGAGCAAACCCCGGGAGAUAGUGAAGGACAGGGAGAGCUGCAGUCCAGGGGGUCCCGAAGAGACAGACACGACUUAAUGACUGAACAACAGCAGCAAUGGAAUUUUUAUUUUCCAGACACAUGUGCACUGCAUCUUCCCCUGAGUAGAAGUUCUUUGAGAAAAAGGACUAUGAGUCUAUAUCUGUGAAUAGCUCCUGUAAUUUGGACUGAAAUGGAGGGUUGAUUUCUUCUAAAUGGAAGUGGGCAAAGUAUAUGAAGAUAGAGGCAAGCCAUUUCAGAUCCAGGAACUUGGGUACCAUCAUUCAUGUCCAAGGCAGUUGAGACCUACCAGUGACAGAUACCUGAGAAUAAUAUGGACAUUUACUUUGAAGAGACACUGAAUUGUGCAAAGCAGAAAGGCGGAAGGGGGAGUAGAGGCGUCUCAGUGUCUGCUGCCGUGUCUCAGCUAGUCAGCUCUACCAAGACUUGAAUACUCCACUCAAGAAGGCUAUGCUUGAGGCUACCUGGCCCACUCUUCUUGGAGGUCAGACUCCAAUAAUGCUCUCAGGAGGUCUCAGCCCCACCCCAAGUGUUUCGUCCAAACAACUUCUCUGUCCGUAAGGAGCAAUGUGGUUCAUACAAGUUUCUCUAUCUUGUGACAUUUCCACGACCCUCUGAUUACCUCCUGCAAAGUGGUACCCAGGCCAG
ensembl:lncRNA